UACACAGUGUGCUUUUAUGAUCGGUAACAGAUCUAGAAAAGAGCAUAAUGUGUAGGGAGCGGCGGACGGGUGCGUAACACAUGGGAAUCUGCCCCAAACUGAGGGAUAACUACUCGAAAGAGUAGCUAAUACCGCAUAUGGUCUUCGGAUUAAAGCCUUCGGGCGGUUUGGGAGGAGCCUGUGGCAGAUUAGUUAGUUGGUGAGGUAACGGCUCACCAAGACGAUGAUCUGUAGCUGGUCUGAGAGGAUGAUCAGCCACACUGGAACUGAGACACGGUCCAGACUCCUACGGGAGGCAGCAGUAGGGAAUUUUCCACAAUGGACGAAAGUCUGAUGGAGCAAUACCGCGUGCAGGAUGACAGCCUUCGGGUCGUAAACUGCUUUUAUACGAGAAGAUUAUGACGGUAUCGUAUGAAUAAGCUUCGGCUAACUCCGUGCCAGCAGCCGCGGUCAGACGGAGGAAGCAAGCGUUAUCCGGGGUGACUGGGCGUAAAGAGAUGCGUAGGCGGUAUGUCAAGCGAACAGUGAAAUCUCAAAGCUCAACUUUGAGGCUACUGUUUGAACUGACAUACUAGAGCAUGAUAGGGGAAACUGGAAUUCCUAGUGUAGGAGUGAAAUCCGUAGAUAUUAGGAGGAACACCAAUGGCGAAGGCAGGCUUCUGGAUCAUUGCUGACGCUCAGGCUCGAAAGUGUGGGUAGCGAACGGGAUUAGAUACCCCGGUAGUCCACACCGUAAACGAUGGAUACUAGCUAGUUGGGGGUAUCGACCCCCUCAGCAGCGAAGCUAACGCGUUAAGUAUCCCGCCUGGGGAGUACGGUCGCAAGAUUAAAACUCAAAGGAAUAGGCGGGGACCCGCACAAGCGGUGGAGCGUGUUCUUUAAUUGG
rnacentral:rRNA from 1 species